rnacentral:rRNA from 1 species
ACGGGAGGCAGCAGUGGGGAAUAUUGGACAAUGGGGGCAACCCUGAUCCAGCCAUGCCGCGUGUGUGAAGAAGGCCUUAGGGUUGUAAAGCACUUUCAGUGGGGAGAAAGGUGGUUUGGUUAAUAGCCGGAUCAAUUGAUGUUACCCACAGAAGAAGCACCGGCUAACUCCGUGCCAGCAGCCGCGGUAAUACGGAGGGUGCAAGCGUUAAUCGGAAUUACUGGGCGUAAAGCGCACGUAGGCGGUUUGUUAAGCCAGCUGUGAAAUCCCCGGGCUCAACCUGGGCACUGCAGUUGGAACUGGCAAGCUAGAGUAUGGUAGAGGGGUGUGGAAUUUCAGGUGUAGCGGCGAAAUGCGUAGAUAUCUGAAGGAACCUCAGUGGCUUAUGCGACACCCUGUAUCAAUACUGCCGCUGAUGU